rnacentral:rRNA from 1 species
UAACCCGCACCACUUAUCGUGGUGGGAGACAGUGUCAGGCGGGCAGUUUGACUGGGGCGGUCGCCUCCUAAAAGGUAACGGAGGCGCUCAAAGGUUCCCUCAGAAUGGGUGGAAAUCAUUCAUAGAGGGUAAAGGCAUAAGGGAGCUUGACUGCGAGACCUACAAGUCGAGCAGGGGCGAAAGACGGACUUAGUGAUCCGGUGGGUCCGCAUGGAAGGGCCAUCGCUCAACGGAUAAAAGCUACCCCGGGGAUAA